rnacentral:rRNA from 1 species
AGGACGAACGCUGGCGGCGUGCUUAACACAUGCAAGUCGAGCGGUAAGGCUCCUUCGGGAGUACACGAGCGGCGAACGGGUGAGUAACACGUGAGCAAUCUGCCCUUCACUUCGGGAUAACUCCGGGAAACCGGUGCUAAUACCGAAUACGACCACCGAUGGCAUCGUCUGGUGGUGGAAAGUUCCGGCGGUGAAGGAUGAGCUCGCGGCCUAUCAGUCUUGGUUGGUGGGGUAAUGGCCCACAAGGCAACGACGGGUAGCCGGCCUGAGAGGGUGACCGGCACACUGGGACUGAGACACGGCCCAGACUCCGACGGGAGCAGCAGGUGGGAAUAGUGGAACAGUGGGACGAAGCCUGAUCCAAGCGAACGCCGCGUGAGGGA